CGAGCUUCUAACAUGCAGAACCCAUUAUAUUUUAUAACAGGUAAAUGUAAUAGUUACCUAUAAUAUGUAUGCAUAUAUCUCGCGGGUGCUUUCGAAUAUAAUAAUUACUAUCGCGAACAUCUUAUACGGUGUUCGUUUCGCUUACUUUAUAAUUAUUUAUCUCUCGUAAUCGUAGUAACUGCUCUCCUCCCCCCCCCCUCCAUCACUCCCCGUCCCGUAAUACUAAUUAUGAUUCGAGACUUGCAUAAUAUAGUACGUAAAAUCAUCGAAAUAAGCGCUUGA